AUGAAUGAAUGAAUGAAUGAAUGAAAGGCUGUUGAACAAUAGGUUGAUGAGGGGGUGGUGGAGGAAUGUCUGUGUUUUGGAGAAACUGCAUUUUCCGCAUCUCCAAAUAUUUGCUUCUCAACUUGCGGGAGUCCUAGCAGUCCACUCAUGCCGGGGAGUGCCGUUGGUGGGAAUCGAGGCCCUGGGGCCCCAUCGACCAUCUCAGAGCCGCUUGGAGACCACUGAUUCUCCUGGAGACAUGAGCGUCUGGUGAUUUAGAUGUGGUCCUCAGCUGCGGACAGAAGGCAGGGUGAGAAACCCAAACCUUCGGGAUCACUGAUCUAGGUGUCCCCGCCAGGGUUUGAGAUGGGCAUCGGCCAGGACCGGCGGAGCAGCUCUAAUUAUUCCCCACCGUCAUCGGACCGACGUUCCGAGGUCCGAUACCGUGUUGACGGAGGAGGUCUUGGGCGGCGAGUCCCCCCCCAGUUGCGUGGCCAAGAGGCUCCGAGACCCGUCAGGAAGUCCCGCAGCCUAAAAGCCCGGCGGUGCCCAGGUUGGGGGUGGGAUGACUGAGGAGAGACUCUGACGGGCUACCGCUCCCUCGCCAGAAGCUGCCCAAUACGCUUCCCCGGCCUCGAUGAUCAUCCCUCUGCAGUUUGGACAGUCGGGUCAAUUCUCGAACUUUCCCUGCUGACAAGCUGGAGCCGUGAUCAAACCUCCUGUGCCUCCAGUUUUGCAUUCACGGCCAUAGGCCCCGAAGAAGGAACUCUUCUGUGUCUGACAAAGGUUUCUCAAGGGAAACCAGGAGCAGUUAUAGACCACUCAGGCCGGGGGGCACUGUCAGGGGGGAAUCCAGGCUCCAGGCCCUCCUCCACCAUCUCACAGCCGGUGAGAAUGAAUCUGACUUGGUAUUCUCUUGUCCUCAGCAGUGCGGAUUCCCCUCCCUCACUGACUCCCAUGCCAGUCGCCUUCAUCCUCUGUUCUAGACUUCUACCGAGUCAGAGGAAGAGCAAGGAAGACCAACUUUCUUCCCCAACUUCCUCCUUGUCAUGGAGGCAACUGGCAGUGCUGAAUACUGUGCUCUGUUGUUACUAUGACUGUUAUUAGUGGUACUAUGCUAUCACUACCACCAAAGACUCUAGUGACACUGAAGCCACUGGAUUUGCCCUGUCCCCCAAUGUUCUUCUUCCUUCCCAGCUCUCUCUCAGCUGCCUGAUUUCAAAAUCAGGCCCCUCAAACCUGGCCUCUGAUAUCUCUUGAUCUCACUGCCUGAACACUUCCAUCCACUUUUCUUGCCUUCCUGAUGAGCAUCUAAACCAGUCCUUCUGCCGAAUCAAUUCCUUCCCCACUGCUUUUCACU